rnacentral:misc_RNA from 1 species
GAAAUGCGAUAAGUAGUGUGAAUUGCAGAAUUCAGUGAAUCAUCGAAUCUUUGAACGCACAUUGCGCCCUUUGGUAUUCCAAAGGGCAUGUCUGUUCGAGCGUCAUUUGUACCCUCAAGCUUUGCUUGGUGUUGGGCGUCUUGUCUCUAGCUUUGCUGGAGACUCGCCUUAAAGUAAUUGGCAGCCGGCCUACUGGUUUCGGAGCGCAGCACAAGUCGCACUCUCUAUCAGCAAAGGUCUAGCAUCCAUUAAGCCUUUUUUCAACUUUUGACCUCGGAUCAGGUAGGGAUACCCGCUGAACUUAA